rnacentral:rRNA from 1 species
GUAGGUAACGUACCCUCGGGGCGUGGACAGCCACGGGAAACCGUGGGUAAUACUCGAUAACGUUCCCAAUCUCGAUCGGAGGGGAACCAACGGGUGUGAUUCCACCUGAGGAGCGGCUUACGCAGUAUCAGCUCGUUGGUGAGGUAAUGGCUCACCAAGGCGAUGACGCUUAGGGGAUGUGAGAGCAUGAUCCCCACCACUGGCACUGAGACACUGGCCAGACACCUACGGGUGGCUGCAGUCGAGAAUCUUCGGCAAUGGACGCAAGUCUGACCGAGCGACGCCGCGUGCGGGAUGAAGGCCUUCGGGUUGUAAACCGCUGUCAGAGGGGAUGAAGUGUACGGGAGUUAUCUCCUGUAUUUGACAGAGCCUCAGAGGAAGCACGGGCUAAGUUCGUGCCAGCAGCCGCGGUAAUACGAACUGUGCGAACGUUAUUCGGAAUCACUGGGCUUAAAGGGUGCGUAGGCGGCUGCCUAAGUCAGGUGUGAAAUCUCUCGGCUCAACCGGGAAACUGCGCUUGAUACUGGGCGGCUU